rnacentral:piRNA from 1 species
UGACACUUGUGAACUACACCCUC